UCACCAAUCAAGCCUGGCUUGUCGUUGGACCUCUAGUCUAUCAAAAAAGACGGGUCCGAAAGAUAAUGGCGGCGUCCGUGGGACCCUGGAUACAACGAGCUUUGAUAAGCACGUAUCAUAGUGGCCCGGUGACGCGGUCUUGCAGUACAAUCUAUCUCAAGGUUGACCUCGGAUCAGGUAGGAAUACCCGCUGAACUUAA
rnacentral:misc_RNA from 1 species